AGGGAAGGAGGAGGGGAUAGUGUCUGCUCUUUUUGCUUUCCAGCCCAUUUCAGUGGGUGUCCCAGUCAAGCUCAUCAACAGUACUAAACUGGGAGCUUCUAAGGCAUUCACUACAUUUCUGGAUGCAAAGGAGAAUCAAGCAUAGUUCUGCAUAAAAUAAAUAUAGGAUAUGCCCUUUUGUGAGAUAAACAGCUAUCAAGAUUACACUUUACAGCAGCACUGAAAAGAAAAGCAUUGCAGUUACAGGAAAUUCCACUUGAUGGCAG